UUGCUUCACUUCUUUUUUACACACGGACAGAGAGACCCAGCCGUGUUAUAGCAAUUGAGCUACCGAAAACACUAUCAGCGAUAGACUACUCUUUCUUUCUUUAGAAGUUCAAGUUUUCAAGCAAACAUCCUCUGCCAUGAAAUCAGAAAGUGCAACAAUCCAGUGAUUCUAGCCCCAGCAUUGUUGUGCCUCCUUUGGUAGCUGGGAGUGGACACAGAGAAUUUUUCAAUUCUUUGCAGUUCAGGGUCUGAAAGCCAGACGAAGCUAACGUCCUGGGGUAAGAGUGGAGAGGGUCCCUCUGUGCCAUCCAGGCUGGAGUGCAGUGGCAUGAUCAUAGCUCACUGCAGCCUCGACCUUCCAGGCUCAAGAGAUCCUCCUGCUUCAGCUUCCUGAGUAGCUGGGACCACAGGCAUGUGCCAUCAAGCCUUCUAUUCUAUCUUUCAUCUACCAGAAUCCAGCAAACUUCAUAUAUUAUUUUCUAUUGAGGCCUUCUGGGAAUAACUUCGGUAUUCUACUUUCUGUUUUAAAUUUUUGUUUGUCCAUACCUCAAAUAAUAAUCUAAUCAAGAUGAUCC